UUCUCUUCAAUUUUCAACACUAGAACACAGUCCGGUCUGCAGCAAUCGCUAGAGCACUGUGGACUAAUCCACAAAGACCAGAUUCUGCAGUAGUCAGGACAGCCCACCAUUAUGAUGUCACUACUCUGAGGCUCAUGUCCUAACCAGGAUUCUCACAGGCUGACACACUGCUUUCCUUGAUUUAAUCUAAGAUCGUUGUUGAUUCACACAGAGUUGUAACAAAUAACAUAGAGAUAACAGCAAAUUUUCAUUCAGUUCUCCCAAAAAAUACAGUACAAUUGUACAUUACUAUAAAAUUAUAUAAUAUUGUAUAUAGUAACAUUAUGCACAAUACUAAAACAAAUAGGUUUUUCUUUAAAAAUUUAUUUAUAUACUUGAAAAGCAGAGGGACAGACAGACAGAGCUCUUUCACCCUCUGGUUCACUCCCCAAAUGGCUACCACACCUAAGGCUGUGCCAGGAGCUCUAUCCUGGUUCCCCACAUGAAUAGUCAUAGUCCAAGUACUCUGACCAUAAUUCUCUGUCUUUUCAGGUGCAUUAAUAGAAAACUGAAUCAAAAGGAGAGCAGCAGGGACCCCAACCUGCACUCUGAUAUGUGUUGGCAUCCCAAGCAGCAACUUAAUCCCUGCGCCACAAUGCCAACCCCAAAAAGAGAAGAGUGAAUUUUACUUCACUCCUGAUGAGAACAUACCUGGAGAAAUUUCAGAAGUUUUCACUAGACGUAUCCCAACUUGCACUGAGGUGCUGAAAGCAUUUGACACUAGAAAUGAGGACAUGAAAAUACAAGAAAGAAUAAUGUCUCCGGUGCUCACUGACAAAAACAGUGACAUACAUGAGGAGUUUCCCAGAAGCACCAACAAUGCCACCAAAAACAACACACACAUGGAAACUCACACACAUGGGUUUGUGGGAGCACAAUUGCUAACAGGUAAUUUGGGGUCAGGAAAUAGACUCACCAGCUGUGCACUCCAUUUUUCUUUUUUAAUGUAUAUAAAUGGAACAGAUUUCAUGCAUUUCAUAUGGUUUUAACAUAAUGAUACUUCUCACCCUCUCUCCCUUGCUCUCUCCCACCCUCCUCCUUCCUUCCUUAUGGCUGUGUACUCUUGCACUGGUGUGAUGGACUGGUCUUGCAUGCAGCUGGGACCCAGAUGUGCCCUGGUCUUUGCCAGCUACAAUACAGAUACCUAGUGUACAGGGACAAAUGCCAUCUCCCAAAGUCACUCAGUCCAGCUCUCUGCUAUGGCCUGGGAAAGCAGUGGAAGAUGGCCCAAGUAGUUGGAAUCCCUGCACCCGCAAGCUCCUGGCUCCUGGCUUCAGAUCGGCACAGCUCCAGCCAUUGUGGCCAAUUGGGGAGUGAACCAGCUGAUGGAAACCUCUCUCUCCCUGUCUCUCUGCCUCUCCUUCUCUCUCUGUGUAACUCUUUCAAAUAAAUAAAUAAAUCAUUUUAAAAAAAGUAUAUGUAGAUGUGUGGAGGGAUUGGGUAAAGUUGAAAAUGUCCAGUUUAAAAGAGAAACUAUGGUAAGAAAUAAUAGUUGAAAAGUAGAUGAAGGGAAGAUUUUGGCCUCAACUUUAAAUGUCGGAGUAAUGAAUUCCUACUUUGGGUAGGGUUUAUCAUCAGGGAAGCAAAGACAUAAAAUCUAUAAAAAUCCAGGCUAUGGCAUUUGAACUUUUGGUUUAAGGAAUGUUUUUAAACUGGGGACUUUUCCUUUAACUCACUAGUUAGAAUCACAGAUGUUUUAUGCUUCUGCUUAAUUACUCUAUUUAACUGAGCAUUAAUUACUCUAUUUCUACUUGGAGAGGAAACCCUUAGUUUAGUUUUAAAUCUUAUGCUAAAAAGGGAGACAGCUAAUCAAGGAAAGGGUCUUAGGCUGGAUUACCAAGUCACUCAGUUGGAAAGGAGCCUCAGGGAAGUGAAAGGGCACCCCAAUCUCUCAAGGUCAAUUAAAUGCCACAGCGUUCCUCCAAUGGAUCCUUUCAGGCUCAGAUGCUUCCAAAUGAAUAAGAGAAAGCUUAAGAAAUGCAUGGAAUAGCUGUGGUUCACUCACCUGGAGCUUUCCUUUUAAGACAGCCCUGUAGCAAUCAUGAGUAGGUAGAUUACAGCUGAAAUAUUUAAAACUGCAAAGCCCUUGAGAGGGCUUCAGGAACUGAGGUUGGCACUUUCUCAUGCAAAGGGAUUACUGACAGAGCAGGGGGCCAGUGCCAAGCACGGGGCAGGAAAUUCUCUGGUGUUCACCCAACCCAGAUGCCCUGGGGACCACACCUGAACCAGGGCCUGGAAGGGCAGUGACCCAAGUCUUUCAUCCCUGUAGAAUAAAUUAACUGCUCUGCCUUGUCACAUCACAGCGCUGUAGUUCAAGCAACCCAUUUUUAAUUGUCUCAAAAUUCAUAUAUUUCACAUAUUUUAUAGCCAUGUCAAAAAUUUACUGAGAGUAAACUCCAGCCAAUUACCUAAAAACUACACCUCAAUCAGAUUUUUUUUGAUUCUCAAAUCACUUUUUGUGCAAUAAUUCUUUUUAAAGAGUUAUUUAAGGGGCUAGUGCUGUGGCAUAGUAGGUAAAGCCACUGUGUGUAGUGCCAGCAUCCCAUAUGGGUGUUGGUUCCAGUCCUGGCUGCUUCACUUCCAAUCCAGCUCUCUGCUCUGGCCUGGGAAAGCAGUAGAAGAUGGCCCAAGUGGUUGGGCCCCUGCACCUGCGUGGGAGACUCAGAAGAGGUUCCAGGCUCCCGGCUUCAGAUCAGCUCAACUCCAGCCAAUGUGGCUAUUUGGGGAGUGAACCAAUGGGUGAAAGACUCUACCUCUGCCUCUCUGUAACACUGCCUUUCAAAUAAAUACAUAAUUUUUUUUAAAAAGUUAUUUAAGUAAUUGAUAAUGUUGCAUGCCUAAUAAGGUAAAUUAUUUGCUGCACAAAUUCUCAAAUUACCAUCAGUCUUCCAUUGAUGCUUGUUGUGGUUGUUUCCUGAUUUCCUACCUAAAACUGGCCAGGAAAACUGAGUAAUAACUCUCAUGUGUACCUCAAUGUUCAGCUUUUGCCAAAUAAUGCUGACUGGAGUGGACAAAGGAACAAAAUGGUCCCAGAAAAAAUAGAUUGCUACAUCAAGUUUUGAGAGCCUAUAAAAAUUCAAAUAUGAAUUUUUAAAAUAAAUCUAAUAAUUCUCUAUUACCAUGUGUCUUCCCAAUAAUCUCAUUUUGACAUCUGAUAUGCUUAAAGAGAUAGAUACAUUUAAAACAAUUAAAAAGUUUUUCUUUUAUGACGUAUUUCCCACCUUUAUUAACUUUUUAAAUUAAAUCUGGCUUCAAAUUGUGAUAAAGAAUUCCAGAAAUUAUUUUAUUAGGUCACAAUGUACUCAGCAUGGUUAUAAUUCCCCAUUAAAAUAUUAUUUACUUUUUAAAAAAUAGUUUUCAGCCGGCGCCGUGGCUCAAUAGGCUAAUCCUCCACCUUGCGGCGCCGGCACACCGGGUUCUAGUCCCGGUUGGGGCGCCGGAUUCUGUCCCGGUUGCCCCUCUUCCAGGCCAGCUCUCUGCUAUGGCCAGGGAGUGCAGUGGAGGAUGGCCCAGGUGCUUGGGCCCUGCACCCCAUGGGAGACCAGGAAAAGCACCUGGCUCCUGGCUCCUGCCAGGAUCAGCGCGGUGCGCCGGCUGCAGCGGCGGCCAUUGGAGGCAGUUCCAACGACAAAGGAAGACCCUUCUCUCUGUCUCUCUCUCUCACUGUCCACUCUGCCUGUCAAAAAAAAAAAAAAGAAAAAAAAAUUGAUGGUUGAAAAUAUUGCUAUGUCAUUUUUUUGCGUUCAGUGCAUAUUGAAAAUCCAUCACUUACCUAACCUGAUGGAACAUUAAACUCAAAACUAUUAUUUGCAUUCAAGCUACUAAUUCUAAUUAAAUAAUUCGCUUGGCUUCCAUUUUCUUUGUGAGAGCUCCAUUUUCAUUGGAUUUGCCAACAAUGGGACUGGUAAUUUUUGUGAUCCUGGGCCUAAGUGAUACAAGAGAGUGGUGUUAAAAAAGUAGUACGCAGGAGUGAGCAUUUGACCAAGUGGUUAGAAAUCCCCUUGAGACAGCUACUUGCUACAAUGGAGUGAGGGAGUUUGAGUGUUGUUUCCAUUUCUGUCUUCAGCUUCCUGCUAAUGCAGACCCUGGGAAGCAGCAGGUGAGGGCUCAAGGAAUUGGGUCCCUGCCACCCACACAGAACUGUGUUAGGUUUCUAUCUCCUGGCUUUGUCCUCUGCCUCGCCCCAGCCAGUACCGAAAUUUGGGGACUGAAUCAAAAACUGGGAGCGCGCGCGCUCUCUCUGUAUGUUUCUCUCUCAAUGACUCUGCCUUUCAAAAGAAUACACGAAAACUAAAAAAUAGAAAUAUAAAAGGUGGAGAAAGUUAUGUCUAAAAUUAUCAGGCUUUAAAGACACACUUCCUGUACAUUCAUCAGACACUUGGCUCCUAACACUACUACACCUUCCAGUCCAAUCGGGACUGUCAGACUGACCAGCACCACCUCAACCAGCGCCAGUCCUGCCAGCUCAGAAGUGCUUCCUGGGAGACAUGCAGGAGGGUGAGCAGCCCCCAGCCCCACUGCAGCUAGGGAGAGGGCGUGCGGAAGGAGGGUGAGUGGGUGAGCAGCCCCCACCCCCGCUGCGGCCUGUGGGGCGGUGCUGGGGGCAGAGCCAGGGGCAGGCACCUGCUAACCACAUGACCAGGGCCAUUGCAUCCUGUACUGGUGCAGGAAUCCAAUUACAGCUGUGGCCAGUGCCCAGUCCCCCUGCCCAGGCCUGGCCACUAUGUCCUGAAGACACACACACACACACACACACACGUAUACACACACAUACAUGGACACACACGCACAUACACAUACAUGGACAUGCACAUGCAUGGACACACAUGCAUGCACACACAUACACAUACACGAACCCACAUAGAUACACACAUACAUGGACACAUAUAUGCACACAUAUAUACACACAUACAUGGAGACACACACACACACAUGUAUUUAUUUGGCUUCCGAUGCCCCCACCCCUGCCUCUGUUUGCCAAAGGCAGGAGCCCGGCAGCCCGAGCCUAUGGGGACACCACCCUUGUCCCCUCCCCAGGAGCCCUGCAGUUUCUCCAAGCUCCACAAGGGGCCAGGGGUGGUGGUGGUGGUGUGUGGGGGGGUGUUCCAAGCCUCCUGGAUGAAUGCCCGCCCCAUACCCCCAGCUGUCUGCCGGUUCUUCCUGGGGUCUGACUCGAGUCUCUCGUGCUUUCGAGGUUUUGUUUUCUCCCUCACUGGGUCUCUGGGGGAAGCUGAGAAAGUCGGCUCAGAGCCCCUUGGAAAAGCCACUCCCUUCAGUUAGGGGGGAUUCACCUGUGCCCUCUCUUCUCACGUGGCUGAUCUGAAAUCCCACCGGCCCGGCCCUUGGGUGGGCACUCCUACAGCCACGUGCUGCCCCCGCCAUGAACGGCCUCCCACCCUCACCGCUCACAACCCCUUACCUUGCUUUGGGACCCAAUGACUUCCCCAGGGACUCUCUUUGUCUUGUGCACUACUGUGUCAAGGGUCCCUGCAUACAGUCGGAGCUCAAUAAGUAGCCCUUGGCUUCAGUUGCCACCAGGUUAGCCCUUCCUCCAUGGCCAAUACUGCUCUAAAGCAGAAUUGUUAAUUCGGGUUUGGUGUUAAAGAGGGAGUCGUGGGUGGGAUUCUAACCCCGUGCCCCAGCCUGGGCUGGAGGAGGAAGAGUUGGGGAUGGGGGCUUGAAGAGGGGAGUGAGCAGGUGCAAAGGCCCUGGGGUAGGAUGGCGGGGGGAGAAGGAGUGGUGCAGGCUGGGCUUAUAACCAGGGCAGCAUCUUUGGGCCCCAUUUGGCCACUCCUACUGGACAGCUGACCCCAGUCCCCAGGAUUCGGCCCCACCCCCAGUCCUGGGUCCUCUCCAGGGCUGGGAGUUUGCCCCACGUGCUGCGGGCCCUGGACUAGAGUUCAUGGGUGCGAUCAGGUUGGGCGGGCAGGCUCCUUAAUUAGCCCUGCCUGGCAGCCAGCCCUGCCUGCCUCGGUUUCCCUCCUGCCACCUCACCUGCUUGCUGCGGGCGAGGCCACAGCUCCAAGUCCCACCUGGGGACGACCCCAGGCCUCCUCCCGACCCGGGCUCUCCAGGAGCUGGGGAGGGGGAACCCUGAGAGUGCCUCGCUCUGGCUGUCCUCUCUCUCUCUCCUGCCACCCCACAGCGCUGCAGCGUGGCUGCAUCCCUCACUUGCUGCCCCGCGGCGCUGGCCGCCUCCUCCGGCAGCCCUCCGGCCUUGGCGCUGGUGGCGGCGGGCGGCGGGCGGCGGCGACUCGGUCCCGGGUAGCCGGCGUCGGAGCUGUUGGCGUAGCUGCUGCACGCCGAGCCCUACCCGGCACCAGGCGGCGGAGACUCAUUCCUGGGCAGCCCGCGUUGGAGCUGACGGCGCAGCCGCGGGUGCGGCAGGUGCGGGCGGAGGUGGCGCAGCGCUGGGCAUGGACCACGCGUGGGAGCUUGCGGCGCGGCUGCUCUUAGCGCUGCCCCUGCACAAGACGCCACUGCUGGCCGCCGCCGGCCGAGCGCGCUGUGGCCUUCCCGGACCAGGAGCAAGUGGACAAGCUGGGCCGCCUGAAGGGCGAGUCCGGCCGCCUCAAGGCCAUCGCGCUCUCGGACCCGGCGCGCACGGAGAGGCUGCAGAGCGCUCAGGUGGCGCUCACGUAGUAGUGCGCGCCCGGUACCCGACCCAGCCCCAGCGCGCCCAGCCCCAGCGCGCUCCCGGCGCCUCUCAUCUCCGGCUCCACUUCCUACACUGGUGGGCAAGAAGCCCACCUAGACUCUCACCCGGGACUCGCUGCUGGAGGGCAGCACUUUCAACUGGCCCUAGGGCCCCGGCCGGUGAGCCGCCGCAUUAAGACACUCUCUGCUCUGCUUUCCGUAUCACAGAUUGUACAGCACCUCGAAAUAGUUUCCUUCAAUGUGAUGAUCGGUCACAACCCAGAGAGGUUAAUUGAAGAAGUGUGUAAUCACGACCAUACUCUUCCUUAGUAACAUCAGGCAGAUUUAGGCAUCUCUACAAUAUAUUAAAUAAUUUCCAGAUAUUUCCUAGGAACACUUUGCAUUGUUUUAUGGACUUCAAAAUUUCAUGGGAAAUAGGAGUAGAAGAUAAGUUUCUGUUGGUGCGUAACAUUUGAAAUAUGAAUUUUGGGGCCAGCGCUGUGGCUCAGCGGGUUAACACCCUAGCCUGAAGCACCGGCAUCCCAUAUGGGCGCAGGUUCGAGGCCUGGCGGUUCCACUUCCCAUCCAACUCUCUGCUAUGGCCUGGGAAAGCAGUAGAGGACGGCCCAAGUACUUGGGCCACUGCACCCGCAUGGGAGACCCAGAAGAAGCGCCUGGCUUCGGAUCGCGGCAGCUCCGGCUGUUGUGGCCAUCUGGAGAGUGAACCAUCAGAUGGAAGACUUCACUCUCUCUCUGCCUCUCCUCUCUCUGUGUAGCUCUGACUUUGAAAUAAAAUAAAAUAAAUCUUUGAAAUAUGUAUUUUUUCAUAAUACAUGUUUUCCAUGAACUUUUUGAAUAAUCUAUGUAUAUAGAUUUCAACAUGUUUUGAACCAAAAUAAAUUUAACUUUUAAUUCCAUUUCCACAAUCUUUUUAAGGUACAUUUAUGUGAGUCAAACAAAAGGCUCGAGGAAAUAUAUAAACAUGUUUUUGAAAAAUAGUGGAAAUAUGCCAUAGAUUCUGCUCUGCAAGGGUUUUUUUUUUUGCUUAAUAAUGUAAAUAUAUUUUAUAGCUAAACAGUAUUAUCUUCAUAUGGAUUUACCAUAUACUAUUUAAUGAAUACUGUACUGUUAGAUAUUUACUUACUUAUUUAUUUAUUUGACAGGUAGAGUUAGAAAGUGAGAGAACAGAGAGAAAGGUCUUCCUUCCAUUGGUUCACUCCCCAAAUGGCUGCAAUGGCCAGAGCUGCGCCGAUCCGAAGCCAGGAGCCAGGAGUUUCUUCCUGGUCUCACAUGCAGAUGCAGGGGCCCAAGGACUUGGGCCAUCUUCUACUGCUAUCCCAGGCCACAGCAGAGAGCAACUGGGACUAGAACUGGUGCCCAUAUGGGAUGCCGGUGCUGCAGGUGAAGGAUUAACCUAGUGUGCCAUGGUGCUGGCCCCUGAUCCUGGAUUUUUCUUUUUGGAAAAGUUUUAACUGCAAGUUGAGUUUCUUUAAUAGAUUUAAAGCUAUUUAUCUUACAUAUUUUUUGAGUGAGACUUCUUGGUUUGUGCCUUUCCAGGAAUUUAUUCAUUUCAUGAAUUUUUUGAAUUUAUAGGCAUAAAAUUUAUUAUAUUUCUUUAGUACCCUUCUACUAUGUAUAAAAUUUGUAGUAAUGUCACUUCUUUCACUCCUAACUUGGUAAUUUGUCUUUUUCUUGUUUAUCAGCCCAGUUAGUGGUUUCCAAGAAGUAGCUUUUAUUUUACGGUUUUUCUGUUUUUAAAAGGUUUCUAAUUGCUUUUUUUAAGAUUUAUUUUAUUUAUUUGAAAAAACAGAGUUACAAAGAGAGAUAGAGACAGAGAGAGAGUUCUUCCAUCCACUGGUUCACUCCCCAGAUGGCCGCAACGGUUGGAGCUGCGCCGAUCUGAAGCCAGGAGCCAGGAACUUCUUCCAGGUCUCCCAUGUGGGUGCAGGGGCCCAAGGACUUAGGCCAUCUUCUACUGCUAUCCCAGGCCAUAGCAGAGAGCUAGAUUGGAAGAGGGGCAGCCGGGACUAGAACCGACACCCAUAUGGGAUGCCGGCACUUCAGGCCAGGUUGUUAACCUACUAUGCCACAGCGCUGGCCCCUCUAAUUGAUUUUUAAAUAUCUUCUUUGGCCAGAGUGCUGCUUAGGGCAUCUGCCCUCACAAUCAGCCCUUAAGGCAUUUGGAUCUGGCUAAAAAGCCCACGAGAGUUUCUCAGGCAUGGAAAGCCAAGGGGGAAAAAAAUGACCUAAAUGAAAGAUCUCUGUGAGUGAGAUCCCAGCAGAAAGAAUGGGCCAUCAAAGAAGGUGGUACAUUUCUCAGAAGGGAGGAGAGAGCUUCCACUUUGAUUAUGGCCUUGUCUAAAUAAGGUCAGAGUUUGUGAACUCAAGAGGCUUCCAUAGCCUUGGCAGCUCAUGAAAAGAGCCUCGGGUGAUUACUGGCAUCAUAAAUAAGUGUGUCAAUUUUUAAAUCAACAACAGGAGUCACUGUGCACCUACUCCCCAUGUAGGAUCCCCAGAGAGACAGAGAGACAGAGAGAAAGGUCUUCCUUCCAUUGGUUCACCCCCACAAAUGGCCACUAUGGCUGACGCGCUGCAGCCAACGUGCUGCCCCGAUCCGAAGCCAGGAGCCAGGUGCAGGGCCUAAGCACUUGGGCCAUCCUCCACUGCACUCCCGGGCCACAGCAGAGAGCUGGGCUGGAAGAGGAGCAACUGAGACAGAAUCCAGCGCCCCAGCUGGGACUAGAACCCGGUGUGCCAGUGCCCCAGGCGGAGGAUUAGCGAAGUGACCCGCGGCGCCAGCCCUUUUUAACAUUCUUAACCCUGAAAUCUGCUCUGUCUAGAAUGACCAUAAUCUUUUUAACAUUGUUUUCAUUAAUAUGAAAAUUGCAGCAUGAUAUCUUUUCCUGUUCAUUUACUUUGACUCCUUGCAUUUGUUAUUUCUAAAAUAGAUUUUUUAGGCAGUGAUAGUUGAUUCUCACUAUGUUAGCUGAUCCAAAAAUUUCCAUGUUUUAAUUGAGUGUUUGGACCAUUUAGAUUUAAUGCUAUCAUCAAUGUUACCAACUAAUACUACCUCCUCACUAUUUGUUUUUUAUUUGUCCCAUUUUUUUCUUAUUUUCAUACUUUUUUCCCUUUUUGAGAUAACUGAGUUUUCUAAUUAUUCCAUUUUAUAACUUGUUUUGCUUCUUAGUUAUAGCACUCUGAUUUAUGACAAAUAAGCAGGAGAAAAGAUGUUCCAUAUACUGAGUAACUCAAACAUUCAAUUAAUACUACAGGGAGAUACCAAUAUAUAUGCUCACUAGAAUGGGUAAAAUGUAAAAAGAGGAAAUUAACACAUAUUGGUAUAGAGUGAACUAACUGGAACUCUCACAGGAUUUUAAAAUUUGUGCAACUACUUGAGAAAGCUGUUUGCAAUUUUUUUUAGAAAUCUUAAUGUAUGCUUACAUCAUGAACCAGCCAGUUAACAAAAAGAGCCAAAACCAGCCAGUGAAGAAUUCCUCUGGCAUCCCUGAUUUUUUUUUUAAAACAAAAACCCCAGGCAAACCCACUUUCAAUAACCAUGAAUUCCUUCUGUAUUAAAAAAGGCUGAAAUUUUACUUUUCCCAAAUACACAUAUCAGAUGUCUAUGUGUUCCGCAUCAUUUUUGAGAAUAAAAUCUCAGAUGUGGGGUGCUGCUUUCUAUAUCAAGGUAUACUCUGCUUAAUGUAUAAGUAAAUUUCAAAAAUGAGAGGAACGGCAAAUAGUCAAAAGAAUAAGAGAGCAGGGGAGAAAUUAAAAAUAUAAACAAAAUGAGGAAUCCAAAUCAUGACAUGAAAUAAUAAUUUAAAAAGGACCAGGGAUUCAAUUACAUGAAUUCCUCCCUAGGACACAAAGUCAAGAAAGUAACAUGAUAAAUUUAUUGAAAUAUCGAAAAUAAAAUGCACCACAUGAACUAAAAAAUAAGACAGAAAAUUUGUUCUGGUAUUAUAAACUCGGUUAGUAGCAACAAAGGUGUUUUUUCCAGCUUCUACCAGCAAAAACCAGCCAAUUAUGAGCUCAUAUAUCAUCCCUUUGUUUUUUUUUUUUAAAUGAAAACCAGAAGCACACUCAUUUCAAUAGCUGUGAAUUCCUUCUGUACUAAAAAUUUUUUAAAUUUACUUUCCCAAAUACAUAUAUCAGAAGUGUACAUGUUCUCUUUUUUGAGUGUAAAAUUUCAGAUGUGGGGUGCUUUUUUCUAUGUUAAGAUAUACUAUGGCAAAUGUGUUAUUGUUGAUGAAAGAACAAAAUAAGUAAAUUUAAAAAAUGGAAAUCAAUGAAGGAAAUGGUACAAAGACAAAGAAUAAGGGAGUCAUCAUGAGACCAAAAAUAUAAGGAAAUAGAGGAAUCCAAUAAGUGUAAUGCAGGAAUCAUGAAAUAAUAAUAAUAAAAAAGACCCAAUAUCCAAUUCCAUUUAUUCCUCCAUUGGGCACAAAGCCAAGAAUGUAAAACAGUAAAUUUGUAAAAAUAUCCAAAAUAAAAUGUACCACAAAAAAUAAGAAAGAAGACAAAAAAAUGUGACCAGGAAUGGGAAACUCAGUUAGUAGCAAAAGAAAUGGAGUUUUCCAGUUUGUACCAGUGAAAACAGUUCCUGUAACAUACAUGAUUUUUGUAAAAAUGAAAUGUGAGGCAAAGCCAUUUUCAAUAACUAUAAAUUCCUUCUGUUCAAAUAAAAGUUAAAAUUAUACCUUUCCCAAAUACAUAUAUCAGAAGUGGAGGUGUUCUCUGUCUUUUCUGAGUAUAAAAUCACUGAUAUAGGGUGUUUUCUUUCUGUAUUAACAUAUACUAUGUCAAAUGUGUUGUUGUUGAUGAAAUAAGUAAUAAGUAAAUGUAAAAAAUUGGAAUCAAUGAAGGGAAUGGUGAAUAGUCAAAAGAAUAAGUGAGCUGAUGACAGGCAAAAAUAUAGAGAAAUUGAGGAAACCAAAUGGUGUAAUGGGGGAGACAUGAAAUAAAAAAAUAUAUAUAAAAAACAGAUGUCUAAUUACAUGAAUUUCUCCAUCAGGCACAAAGCCAAGAGUGUAACACAAUAAAUUUAUAAAAAAUAUACAAAAUAAAAUGUACCACAUAAAAAAAUAAAAUAUGGAUUGCCAUAGGAAACUCAGUAGCAACAGAACUGUUUUUUUUUUCCAGGUUAUAAUAGCAAAAAACUGGCCAAUGAACAGCUCUUCUAGCAUUCUGAUUUUUUAAUUGGAAAAUCUGAGGCAAAAUAAUUUUCAAUAACUGUGAAUUCCUUCUGUAUUACAAAAGGCUUAAAUUUAUCUUCUCAAAUACGUAUACCAUAAGUGGACAUGCUCUCUGUCAUUUUUGAGAAUAAAAUCUCAGCUGUGGGGUGCUUUUUUCUAUAUUAAGUUAUACUUUUUUAAAUGUGUUGUUGUUGCUGAAAGAAAAAUAAAGAUGUAAAUUUAUAAAACAGGAAUCUAUGAUGGGAAUGGUGCAGAGCCAAAUGAAUAAGGGAACCAGUGGGAUGCCAAAAAUAUAAAUAAAAUGAGGAUUCCAAAUUGUGAAAUGUGGGUGUCAUGAAGUAAUAAUAAUAAAACAAGACUGUCAGUGCCAUUAUGACAUUUCUCCAUUGAGAUAAAGUCGAGAAUAUAACAGUAUAAAUUUACAAAAAUAUCCAAAAUAAAAUGUACCACAUAAAAAUAAAAAAUAAGACUAAAAUGUGGCCUGGUAUGGGAACCUCAGCAGCAACAGAACUGGUCUUUUCCAGUUUUUACCAGCCAAAACCAGCCAAUGAAGAGUUUCUCUAAUUUUUUAAAAAUGAAAACCUGACGUGAACUCAUUUCUAACACCCACAAAUUCCUUUUGUUUUAAAAAGGCUUAAGUUUUACAUUACCCAAAUACACAUAUCAGAAGUGGAUGUGUUCUUUGCCUGUUUUGAGAAUAAAAUGUCAGAUGUGGCUGCUUUUUUCUAUAUUAUACUAUGCCAAAUGUGUUAUUGUUGAUAAAAAGAAAAAUAUGUAAAUUAAAAAAACAGGCAACGAUGAAGGUAGCCAUACAUAGACAAAAGAAUAUGGGACCCAGCAUGACACCAAAAAUAUAAACAAAAUGAGGAAUCCAAAUAAUGAUAUGUGUGAGUCAUGAUAAUAACGAUAAUAAUAAUAAAACCAUACAUCCACUUACAUGAAUUCCUCUGCAGGGUACAAAACCAAGAAAGUAAGAGUAAAUUUAUUUAAAUAUUCAAAAUAAAAUAUUCUACACAAAAUAAAAUAUUCAACAUCACUAGCCAUCAGAGAAAUGCAGAUCAUAACCACAAAGACAUAUCUCCUUACCCCUGUCAGAUUGGCUAUUAUUCAAUGUCUCUGUAGUUCUGCUUUUCAAAUAAAUAAAGACAUAUAUAGAGAGGGGGCAGAGAGACAGAGAGACAGAGAGAUCUUCUAACUGCUGGUUCACUUCCUAUGGGGCCGUAUUGGCCAGGGAUGGGCUAUUAUGCAGCUAGGAGCCAGGAACUUCAUACGGUACUUCCACAUGGAUGCAGGGGUCCAGGUAAUUGGACCAUCUGCUCCUUUCCCAGUUGCAACAAAAGUGGAGCAGCCAGGAUUCAAAUCAUUCACGUGGGAUGCCAGAACUGCAGGCGGUGUUUUAACCCAUUCUGCCACAAUACCACCUCACUGCACCUCAUUUUUAACCAUGUUUAAUUAGUUUAUUUUCUUGCAAUAUAGUUGUUUGAGCUCUCUCAACAGUUGGGUCUAGACUCUUACUAUUUUGUAUGAUUUGAAAAUACCUUCCCCUCAUCUAUGGGUUGUUAGUUGUUUCUUCAUUCUCUUUGCUUUACAGAAGCUCUGUACUUUGAAACAUCAAAUUUGUCUAUUUUUGCUUAUGUUGCCUGUACAUUUGGGGGUGUAAUAAAAAAAUCAUUGCCCAGACUUAUUUCAGGAUACAUUUGCCCUAUGUUUUCUUCCAGAAGUUUUAUAGUCUCGGGUCUUAUAUUUAAGUUGUUCAUCACUGUUUAGUUUAUUUUUGUAUCUGGUGUGAGAUUACUGCAUAAUUACAUCAUUUUUACAUACAUUUUCCCUACAUGAUUCAAUGAAGAGAUGCCCAUUCCCCAUUCUGUGCUUUUGGCACCAAUCCUGAGAAUGUGUGUAAUUUCUAGAUCAUCUGUUGUGCUCCAUUGCUCUGUGGUUCUAUUUGUAUGUAAGAAUCACGGGGUUUAUUUUAUUUUAAGUUUAGUGUAUUUCACAGAUACAGAUUUAGAGAACACAGUGAUACUUCCCAUUCUAUUCUCCCUCCCACCAACAUUACAAUCCUUCUUCCUCUUCCCUCUCCUGUUCCCACUCUUAAAGUUUUACAAAUAUCUGCUUUCAGUUUACCUAAUGAAUGUACAGUUAACCCUACACUAAGAAUAAGAGUUUAACAAAUAGUAUGAAGGAAAAAAAACACUGCUCCUUAACAGAAGAGACAAGGGCUGUAAACCAUCAUUGACCCUCAAAAUGUUCAUUUCACUCCAAUACAUUACAUUAUUAGGUACUCCAUCAGUUACCUCAGGUCAGGGAAAACAUGUGAUAUCUUUUUGGGACUGUCUUAUUUCACUAAGUAUAAUGGUUUCUAGUUGUUUCCAUUUUGUUGCAAAAGACAGGAUUUCAUUUCUUACAGCUGAGUAGCACUCCAUAGUGUAUAUAUACCAUAAUUUCUUUAUCCAGUCAACAGUGGAUGGACAUCUGGGUUGAUUCCAUAUCUUAGCUAUUGUGAACUGUGUUGCAGUGAACGUGGGGGUAUAAAUAACUCUUUCAGAUGCUUAUGUCUAUUGGUUUGGGUUAAUUCCCAGGAGUAGGAUGGCUGGAUCAUGUGGUAAUGUAGUAGGUCUAUAUUCCAUUUUCUAAGAUAUCUGCACAAUGUCUUCCACAGUGAACCACUGGUUUUUUAGGUCAGAUAUGUUAUACCUACAGCCUUAUUAGUUCUCACCAGAUAGAUUCAGCCACCCUCAGAUCUUGCUUUUUCCAUUUGAAUUUUAAGAUUUUUCUUCCUAUUUCUCUGGAGAAUGCCAUUGAUAUUUGCUUGGGGUAAGCACUGAAUCUGUACAUCACAUGGCAGUGGAUAUUUUAACAUUAAUUCUUUAAAUCAAAGAAUAUGAAUUUCUUUCUAAUUUGGAUGUUUUCUUAAACUUCUUGCAUCACUUUUAUAAUUUUCAUGUAGACAUAAUUUACUACCUUAAUUAAAUUUAC